rnacentral:rRNA from 1 species
GAUGGACGCUGGCGGCGUGCUUAACACAUGCAAGUCGAACGGAAAGGCCCAAGCUUGCUUGGGUACUCGAGUGGCGAACGGGUGAGUAGCACGUGGGUGAUCUGCCCUGCACUUCGGGAUAAGCCUGGGAAACUGGGUCUAAUACCGGAUAGGACGAUGGUUUGGAUGCCAUUGUGGAAAGUUUUUUCGGUGUGGGAUGAGCUCGCGGCCUAUCAGCUUGUUGGUGGGGGAAUGGCCUACCAAGGCGUCGACGGGUAGCCGGCCUGAGAGGGGGUACGGCCACAUUGGGAAUGGGAUACGGCCCACACUCCUAAGUGCGGCAGGAGGGGGGAAUAUUGCACAAUGGGCGAUAGCCUGAUGCAGCGACGCCGCGUGGGGGGUGACGGCCUUCGGGUUGUAAACUCCUUUCGCUAGGGACGAAGCGUUUUUGUGACGGUACCUGGAGAAGAAGCACCGGCUAACUACGUG